AGAAUUACUGAUUGAGUGUCUGUGAUUUGCAGUUUGGCUGGGAAGUGACAUUUGGUGUUGUGCGAACGUUAAACGAAUCUAGGGAUUGUAGUUAACAUGUUGAGGUAUUUGUAUAUAUUUAACCCUUUGCAUUCGAGGCUUUUUUUCUGGUAUCUACCAGCACCUCGAGAUGUUUUCUUAGCAUUCUAUUGCCACGAAUGUUAAGCUUAGAUUGACUUCGAAGAUAUAGCCCGAUUUUCAUUUGAUUAACAAUUCGAGUUCCAAAGAAACUAAACUCAAAGAAAGAUUAUUGCUGGUAGAUUUACUGGGUGAAACCUAGUGGUGACUGCUUUCUUGCUUUCUUUCUGUAUAGUAAGACUCGUGAUGUAGCAUCACGAGCAUGGGGACAUCGAAUACAACAAACAAGGCCAAGCAAAUGGACUAUCACCUAGACCUAGAGGCCUAUGUAUACUGUAGUUGAAGAAUGAAUAAUGGAUGGAAUAAAAGCUAAAAUGAAAGACUAUUAAAUAAAAGGAAUGAAAUGAAUUAAUUUCUUUAAUUUUAGCAAGCGUCAUUAACAAUGUUCAAAAGAAUAAACAACUUAACAAAAACUAAAAUGAAAGAAUUAAGACUAUGCAGGAGUGAAAAGAACUGACGUCAAAUGGUAUCUAAUUAUCUCGCUUAACCUGUUAAGUUGUAGCUCCAGCAUGAGGAAGUUAUUAAUUGGAAUGAGACCAGACGAGUGGACUGUCGUUUACACCUGUAGCCAAUCUAACCGGGUCAUAAACUUGGAAGGUAAACAUCUAAAAUCGCAAUUUAUUGGCUGCGAAAUAAAAGGACCAGGUUUCUUAAUCCUCGGUAUAAUCAUCUUCCAUGUAAUUCUCAGGGAUUAUUUCUUAGGCGCCGACACGUACUUAACAGGAAUACUUGAAAAUUUUAUUUUUUGGGACACAUGCAGAAAAGUGGCAGACGUGGAUAUUCUAUUAAAUUCUGCUGAGCAUGUUCGUUUUCCGGUUGGUGGAACGAGAAUGGCGACACGUUGCUGCCACUCGGAAAUUUGAAACGUCUUCCGUGUAUAACAGUAUGGACUGAAUCCUUUAAGGUAGAAGCACAACCGCUUCGAACCAUCCUGUGCAUAUUACCAUAAAUGAAGACGCUAAACGCGUUGCAACUUCCGAUUAGAAUCAGAUUGACAUUCUUUACAUAUAUGUAGCAGUGUAACUUAUAAUUUAUCACAAAUGGUAUCUUAGUGUCUCUAUUUAGAAAUACCGUUCCAUCACUACAGACGAGUCGUGCUCCUCGUAGACGCGUUUCUGCAGUGGUCGCAUGAUGGGUCUGGGCGAUUAGUAUGAGAAGCUGGAAUGCAUGCGUUAUCAUUGUUUUGUAGGAAAUUAAAAUAUUUCCUUUUAACGUCAGACUAGUUGAUAUUUAUACACGUAACUAACUUAAGUCAACACGCUUCUUUAUCUUAGUAACCCUUAGAAAAUUUGUUAAGACUCAUCCUUAUCUCAGUUCCUCUCCUUCUCUACUUUUUCCACUUGCCAUAGCUAAUAAAGACACACUGCAUCUUUCACUAGAAAGACUGAAUACCAAAUCGAAACGAACCACGUUGUAUCUCUGUGCCGAAAAUCCUUGUUAUUAAAAUCUAGUUUAUAUCCAAAGUUC